AUUGAACGCUGGCGGCAGGCCUAACACAUGCAAGUCGAACGGUAACAGGAAGCAGCUUGCUGCUUUGCUGACGAGUGGCGGACGGGUGAGUAAUGUCUGGGAAACUGCCUGAUGUAGGGGGAUAACUACUGGAAACGGUAGCUAAUACCGCAUAACGUCGCAAGACCAAAGAGGGGGACCUUCGGGCCUCUUGCCAUCGGCUGUGCCCAGAUGGGAUUAGCUAGUAGGUGGGGUAACGGCUCACCUAGGCGACGAUCCCUAGCUGGUCUGAGAGGAUGACCAGCCACACUGGAACGGAGACACGGUCCAGACUCCUACGGGAGGCAGCAGUGGGGAAUAUUGCACAAUGGGCGCAAGCCUGAUGCAGCCAGGCCGCGUGUAUGAAGAAGGCCUUCGGGUUGUAAAGUACUUUCAGCGGGGAGGAAGGGAGUAAAGUUAAUACCUUUGCUCAUUGACGUUACCCGAAGAAGAAGCACCGGCUAACUCCGUG
rnacentral:rRNA from 1 species